GGAAAAGAAACUAACGAAACUUGGAAUCGACGGACUACCCCCUGGCGAAAAUAUCGCGCAGUGUAAAUUCAAUAGUUUGCCGUCUUUUGCAAACACACUGAAUAUGACUAUGGGAGCAAAUUCUGACAAAAAUUUCGUGCGUUUGGAAAUUUCGACUUCGCGAAAAUUUGUUGAUGCCAAAUACGCUGCGAAACUAACGAAUUUUGGAAUCAACGGACUACCCCCUGAAGAAUAUACUGCGCAGUGCAAAUUCAAUAGUUUGCCGCUCAAGGUAAACACACUGAAGAUGACUGCGGGAACAAAUUUUGAUAAAAAAUUUGAGCGUUUGGAAAAUUUGAAAAAUGUGGGACGACCUCGCAGCCGCGGCAUACACAAAGCAACGGGCGGGGCCCCCAGAAUUAAGUAUAGUAGAGAACCGCAGAUGAGGUUUCUACUGGCACACAGACAAUUGGCAGCACGGGACGGACAACACAGGGGCCCCAAGUGGCCCCAUACAGCCCGAAAGAUGGUGAAACUAUGC
rnacentral:rRNA from 1 species